AGGCUUAAGGACCAUCUCAGGCCCACCGUUUGAUUUGCACUCAAACAUUCUUUUUAAGCC
rnacentral:tRNA from 1 species